GACGAACGCUGGCGGCAUGCCUAAUACAUGCAAGUCGAGCGAACAUUUCUAGACGCUUGCUUCUAUAAAUGUUAGCGGCGGAUGGGUGAGUCACACGUAGCCAACCUUCCCUUUUGAUGGGGAUAACUCCGGGAAACCUUGGCUCAUACCGGAUAAUCAUUUUGUCCGCAUGGACAAACUCUAAAAGACGGCUUCGGCUUUCACUGCCGGAUUGUCCCGCGGCGCAUUAGCUAGUUGGUGGGAUAACGGCCUACCAAGGCAACGAUGCGUAGCCGACCUGAGAGGGUGAUAGGCCACAAUGGGACUGAGACACGGCCCAGACUCCUACGGGAGGCAGCAGUAGGGAAUCUGACACAAUGGACGGAAGUAUGAUGGAGCAAUGCCGCGUGAGCGAAGAAGGUGUUCGGAUCGUAAAGCUCUGUUGUGGGGGAAGAACAGGUACGGGAGUAAAUGCACGUACAGUGACGGUACCUCAUUAGAAAGCAACGGCUAACUACGUG
rnacentral:rRNA from 1 species